rnacentral:siRNA from 1 species
CAGAAGGGCUUAUAGGAUCGAUGC